GAGGGUAUAGCUCAAGGAGUAGAGUGCAUGCUUAGCAUGCAUGAGGUCCUGGGUUCAAUUCCCACUACCUCCU
rfam:Camelus ferus unplaced genomic scaffold scaffold112414, whole genome shotgun sequence.